AACGAACGCUGGCGGCAGGCUUAACACAUGCAAGUCGAACGCAUCCUUCGGGGUGAGUGGCAGACGGGUGAGUAACGAGUGGGAACGUGCCCUUCAGUUCGGGAUAACCCAGGGAAACUUGGGCUAAUACCGGAUACGUGCGAGAGCAGAAAGAUUUAUCGCUGAAGGAGCGGCCCGCGUCUGAUUAGCUAGUUGGUGGGGUAAUGGCCCACCAAGGCGACGAUCAGUAGCUGGUCUGAGAGGAUGAUCAGCCACAUUGGGACUGAGACACGGCCCAAACUCCUACGGGAGGCAGCAGUGGGGAAUAUUGGACAAUGGGCGCAAGCCUGAUCCAGCCAUGCCGCGUGAGUGAUGAAGGCCUUAGGGUUGUAAAGCUCUUUCGUCCGGGACGAUAAUGACGGUACCGGAAGAAGAAGCCCCGGCUAACUUCGUGCCAGCAGCCGCCGUAA
rnacentral:rRNA from 1 species